rnacentral:rRNA from 1 species
AUGGCGACCGGCGCACGGGUGAGUAACACGUAUCCAACCUGCCGAUAACUCUGGAAUAGCCUUUCGAAAGAAAGAUUAAUACCCGAUGGCAUAAUGAUUCCGCAUGGUUUCAUUAUUAAAGGAUUCCGGUAAAGGAUGGGGAUGCGUUCCAUUAGGUUGUUGGUGAGGUAACGGCUCACCAAGCCUCCGAUGGAUAGGGGUUCUGAGAGGAAGGUCCCCCACAUUGGAACUGAGACACGGUCCAAACUCCUACGGGAGGCAGCAUG